rnacentral:rRNA from 1 species
UACAGAGGUGGCAAGCGUUGUUCGGAAUUACUGGGCGUAAAGGGCGUGUAGGCGGCUUCUUAAGUCAGACGUGAAAUCCCCCGGCUUAACCUGGGAACUGCGUCUGAUACUGGGAAGCUAGAGUUCGGGAGAGGGAUGUAGAAUUCCAGGUGUAGCGGUGAAAUGCGUAGAUAUCAGGAGGAACACCGGUGGCGAAGGCGGGUCUCUGGGCAACAACUGACGCUGAGGAGCGAAAGCGUGGGGAGCGAACAGG